UGGGGAAUUUUGGACAAUGGGCGCAAGCCUGAUCCAGCAAUGCCGCGUGCAGGAUGAAGGCCUUCGGGUUGUAAACUGCUUUUGUACGGAACGAAAAGCCUCUCUCUAAUACAGGGGGGUGAUGACGGUACCGUAAGAAUAAGCACCGGCUAACUACGUGCCAGCAGCCGCGGUAAUACGUAGGGUGCAAGCGUUAAUCGGAAUUACUGGGCGCAAAGCGUGCGCAGGCGGUUUUGUAAGACAGUGGUGAAAUCCCCGGGCUCAACCUGGGAACUGCCAUUGUGACUGCAAGGCUGGAGUGCGGCAGAGGGGGGAUGGAAUUCCGCGUGUAGCAGUGAAAUGCGUAGAUAUGCGGAGGAACACCGAUGGCGAAGGCAAUCCCCUGGGCCUGCACUGACGCUCAUGCACGAAAGCGUGGGGAGCAAAACAGGAUUAGAUACCCUGGUAGUCCACGCCCUAAACGAUGUCAACUGGUUGUUGGGGAUUUAUUUCUUCAGUAACGAAGCUAACGCGUGAAGUUGACCGCCUGGGGGAGUACGGCCGCAAGGUUAAAAACUCAAAAUGAAUUGACGGGGUCAUAGCUGUUUCCU
rnacentral:rRNA from 1 species